GCAGACGGGUGAGUAAUGUAUAGGAAUCUACCUAGUAGUACGGAAUAAUUGUUGGAAACGGCAACUAAUACCGUAUACGCCCUACGGGGGAAAAAUUUAUUGCUAUUAGAUGAGCCUAUAUUAGAUUAGUUAGUUGGUGAGGUAAAGGCUUACCAAGACAAUGAUCUAUAGCUGAUCUGAGAGGAUGAUCAGCCACACUGGAACUGAGAUACGGUCCAGACUCCUACGGGAGGCAGC
rnacentral:rRNA from 1 species